rnacentral:rRNA from 1 species
UGUGAACUCGAAGAGUAGGGCGGGACACGUGGUAUCCUGUCUGAAUAUGGGGGGACCAUCCUCCAAGGCUAAAUACUCCUGACUGACCGAUAGUGAACCAGUACCGUGAGGGAAAGGCGAAAAGAACCCCGGCGAGGGGAGUGAAAAAGAACCUGAAACCGUGUACGUACAAGCAGUGGGAGCACCUUCGGGUGUGACUGCGUACCUUUUGUAUAAUGGGUCAGCGACUUAUAUUCUGUAGCAAGGUUAACCGUAUAGGGGAGCCGCAGGGAAACCGAGUCUUAACUGGGCGUUAAGUUGCAGGGUAUAGACCCGAAACCCGGUGAUCUAGCCAUGGGCAGGUUGAAGGUUGGGUAACACUAACUGGAGGACCGAACCGACUAAUGUUGAAAAAUUAGCGGAUGACUUGUGGCUGGGGGUGAAAGGCCAAUCAAACCGGGAGAUAGCUGGUUCUCCCCGAAAGCUAUUUAGGUAGCGCCUCGUGAAUUCAUCUUCGGGGGUAGAGCACUGUUUCGGCUAGGGGGUCAUCCCGACUUACCAACCCGAUGCAAACUACGAAUACCGAAGAAUGUUAUCACGGGAGACACACGGCGGGUGC